rnacentral:rRNA from 1 species
AAUAGAUACCCGGGUAGUCCACCCCGUAAACGUUGGGAACUAGUUGUGGGGUCCUUUCCACGGAUUCCGUGACGCAGCUAACGCAUUAAGUUCCCCACCUGGGGAGUACGGCCGCAAGGCUAAAACUCAAAGGAAUUGACGGGGACCCGCACAAGCGGCGGAGCAUGCGGAUUAAUUCGAUGCAACGCGAAGAACCUUACCAAGGCUUGACAUACACCGGAAACGGCCAGAGAUGGUCGCCCCGCAAGGUCGGUGUACAGGUGGUGCAUGGUUGUCGUCAGCUCGUGUCGUGAGAUGUUGGGUUAAGUCCCGCAACGAGCGCAACCCUCGUUCUAUGUUGCCAGCACGUAAUGGUGGGAACUCAUGGGAUACUGUCGGGGUCAACUCGGAGGAAGGUGGGGAUGACGUCAAAUCAUCAUGCCCCUUAUGUCUUGGGCUUCACGCAUGCUACAAUGGCCGGUACAAAGGGCUGCAAUACCGUGAGGUGGAGCGAAUCCCAAAAGCCGGUCCCAGUUCGGAUUGAGGUCUGCAACUCGACCUCA